rnacentral:rRNA from 1 species
AUUGAACGCUGGCGGCAGGCCUAACACAUGCAAGUCGAACGGUAACAGGAAGAAGCUUGCUUCUUUGCUGACGAGUGGCGGACGGUUGAGUAAUGUCUGGGAAACUGCCUGAUGGAGGGGGAUAACUACUGGAAACGGUAGCUAAUACCGCAUAACGUCGCAAGACCAAAGAGGGGGACCUUCGGGCCUCUUGCCAUCGGAUGUGCCCAGAUGGGAUUAGCUAGUAGGUGGGGUAACGGCUCACCUAGGCGACGAUCCCUAGCUGGUCUGAGAGGAUGACCAGCCACACUGGAACUGAGACACGGUCCAGACUCCUACGGGAGGCAGCAGUGGGGAAUAUUGCACAAUGGGCGCAAGCCUGAUGCAGCCAUGCCGCGUGUAUGAAGAAGGCCUUCGGGUUGUAAAGUACUUUCAGCGGGGAGGAAGGGAGUAAAGUUAAUACCUUUGCUCAUUGACGUUACCCGCAGAAGAAGCACCGGCUAACUCCGUG